UACGUAGGGUGCAAGCGUUUAAUCGGAAUUACUGGGCGUAAAGCGUGCGCAGGCGGUUUUGUAAGUCUGUCGUGAAAUCCCCCGGGCUCAACCUGGGAAUUGCGAUGGAGACUGCAAGGCUAGAAUCUGGCAGAGGGGGGUAGAAUUCCACGUGUGAGCAGUGAAAUGCGUAGAGAUGUGGAGGAACACCGAUGGCGAAGGCAGCCCCCUGGGUCAAGAUUGACGCUCAUGCACGAAAGCGUGGGGAGCAAACGAGGAU
rnacentral:rRNA from 1 species